AUCCUGGUGUCAAGAAUAUGGAAUUAGAAGGAAAUAAGGAAGUCUAUAUGCAUUUGUAAAUGCAUGCCAAAUCAAUUAGUGGGGUGGUUAGCUGGAGGAUCCUGCUUACUGGUAUCUACUGUUCCUUUGAAUUAUUAAUGUGCAUAUUGAUUUACUAGAAUAUGCAUAGAUGGUUAAGAAUUGUUCUUAAAUUUUGAGGUUCAAUAGUUUAUAAUUCCCUUUUCCUAUAAUAGAAAGCAAGGUCUGUGAUGUCACCUCAUAAGGGGGGAAAAGGAGGAUGUAGUCUUAUCCCAAUAAUUGUUUUGGAAUUUUUUGCGUUUGAGCAAUAAGAAAUAGUUAUUGUGAGUUCCUUUGAUUUUAUAUUGUAAAUAAUAACGGUUCGCAGUUCGCACCUCCUUCAUUCUCUCUAUAUUAUUCUCAUCUUUGUUUACAUAAAGAAUAAAGUAAAAUAAAAUAAAUUGUCA
rnacentral:misc_RNA from 1 species